AAGGAUAAUUAUUAAGAUCUGCUAACUCUUAUCUCUGUGAUUUAACCCCCAGUAUCCUUA
rnacentral:tRNA from 1 species